rnacentral:rRNA from 1 species
GACGAACCGUGCGAACGUUGUUCGGAAUCACUGGGCUUAAAGGGUGCGUAGGCGGGCGCGGAAAGUUGGGUGUGAAAUCCCUCCGGCUCAACCGAGGAACUGCGCCCAAAACUACCGUGCUCGAGGAAGAUAGAGGUGAGCGGAACUUACGGUGGAGCGGUGAAAUGCGUUGAUAUCGUAAGGAACACCCGUGGCGAAAGCGGCUCACUGGGUCUUCUCUGACGCUGAUGCACGAAAGCUAGGGGAGCAAACGGG